rnacentral:rRNA from 1 species
UACGGAGGGUGCAAGCGUUAUCCGGAUUUACUGGGUUUAAAGGGUGCGCAGGCGGAUAUGUAAGUCAGUGGUGAAAUCUCCAGGCUUAACCUGGAAAUUGCCGUUGAUACUAUAUAUCUUGAAUGCUGUGGAGGUAAGCGGAAUAUGUCAUGUAGCGGUGAAAUGCUUAGAGAUGACAUAGAACACCUAUUGCGAAGGCAGCUUACUACGCAGAUAUUGACGCUCAUGCACGAAAGCGGGGGGAUCAAACAGG